rnacentral:rRNA from 1 species
UACGUAGGGUGCGAGCGUUGUCCGGAAUUAUUGGGCGUAAAGGGCUCGUAGGCGGUUUGUCGCGUCGGGAGUGAAAACACCGGGCUUAACUCGGUGCUUGCUUUCGAUACGGGCAGACUAGAGGUAUGCAGGGGAGAACGGAAUUCCUGGUGUAGCGGUGAAAUGCGUAGAUAUCAGGAAGAACACCCGUGGCUAAGGCGGCUCUCUAGUACGGUACUGACGCUGAGACGCGAAAGCGUGGGGAGCGAACAGG